GUUUUUGUAGUUGAAUAACAACAGUGGUUUUUCAGAUCACAGGUUUUGGGCGCAGCCAGAUAAAAACA
rnacentral:tRNA from 1 species